UGUAAAGUUCAAGCUCCGAAUUUUUAGAGGGCGAAACCGCGAAUGGCUCAUUAAACCAGUCUGAAUCUACUUGGCUAUGAAAAGUUAUACGGAUAACUGUGGUAAUUCUAGAGCUAAUACGUGCCUAAGGAUGGGCGACUGUGUUGUGUAAAAGCUAUACAGAAGCUCAGCGUUUAUUAGUUUAAGACCGGCGUUGUGACCCCUUCAUUGGGGCCACAUCUCCAAUCUAAGAUGACUCUGAAUAAAUAACGGGUGAAAGCCUGUGUUGCGGAUCUUGCAUCAAAGGGCCUCUCACGGCCCGCAAGACAAGCCAAUCGAGUGUCUGCUCUAUCAACUGUGGAUGGUAGGAUAAUGGCCUACCAUGGUGGUGACGGGUAACGGGGAGUUAGGGCUCGACUCCGGAGAACAAGCCUGAGAAACGGCUAGUAGGACUAAGGUCUGCAGCAGGCGCGAAACUUACACAAUGCUAGAUUACUAUGAAAUAAUUCAAUAUGAUAGCGAUGUAGUGAAGAAAAAUAACGAUGCACUUCCUUAAACAAGGUGGUGCAAUUGGAAUGAGACGACUUUAAACCAGUUAGUCGAGUAACAAAUGGAGGGCAAGUCUGGUGCCAGCAGCCGCGGUAAUUCCAGCUCCAUUAGCAUACAUUAAAGUUGUUGCGGUUAAAAAGCUCGUAGUUGAAUGUUUUGUGGAUCACAUCCUGAUUCUUGGUAACAUUUCUGUUCCAAGUUAAUCGUUUGGUUCACAGUUUCGUCACUUAAUCGAGUGCGAAGCGUGGGUGCAUUUAGAUAUUAUUCCUCCGGGAUUAAUUAUCAAAUUCACUCGACUUUACCUUGAGAAAAUUAGAGUGCUCAGAGCAGGCAGUUGGGUCUAAAAAACCCUUAAUGCUUGAAUAAUGUUGCAUGGAAUAAUAGAAUACGGCCUCGGUUCUAUUCUGUUGGUCUUAUAGAACAACAAACAGGUGGGAUAUCAUAUGGGUCCCUAAAAUUGGUUUGUUAUCAAAUGAAGCUUGCCUUGGGCCUCAAAAUCCAAGUUGCGCUUUUAAACUUACCAGCCCAGAUCCCACCGAGGCAAUGGUUAAAAGAAAUAGUCGCGGCGGCAUCAGUACUGCAUCGUGAGAGGUGAAAUUCUUAGACCGAUGCAAGACUAACUGAAGCGAAAGCGUUUGCCGAGGAUAUUUUCAUUAAUCAAGAACGAAAGUUAGAGGUUCGAAGGCGAUCAGAUACCGCCCUAGUUCUAACCAUAAACGUUGCCAACUAGCAAUUGGGUUGCGGUUCCUUUGAGUUUAAUAGUUAAUACCUUAAAAAGUUUAGCUACUAAAAACUCUCUAUGACCCACCCAGCGGCUCUCGUAGGGAAACCAAAGUGUUUGGGUUCCGGGGGAAGUAUGAUUGCAAAGUUGAAACUUAAAGGAAUUGACGGAAGGGCACCACCAGGAGUGGAGCCUGCGGCUUAAUUUGACUCAACACGGGGAAACUUACUAGAUUAAAACUCUGCUAUGAUUGACAGAUUGAUAGCUCUUUCUUGAUUCAGAGGAUGGUGGUGCAUGGCCGUUCUUGAUUCGUAUUCCGAAACGUCUGCCUAAUCGCGAUAACGAGUGAGACCUCACCCAACUAACUAGUCGUCUAGUGCGUUUGGCGGAACCAAUAGUGGUGUGAUUUAAUUGGAGGAGAGGCCUUAAAACCUUUCGUCCAAACUUCAUACUAUCUACCGCUUCCUCGCUGACGGACUUCUUAGAGGGAUAAACGGUGUUUUAGCCGUAAGAAACGAGGCAAUAACAGGUCUGUGAUGCCCUUAGAUAUUCUAGGCCGCACGCGUGCUACAAUGGCCUGUGCAAAAAGCUUGUUCGAGGUCUCUCCAGAGAGCAACUAGUUGAUUGGUUUUUAGAUUGGGGCAACCUAGUUUAGGGAUCGUUAACCAAGUGACUUUGGCUAGUAGGCCGAGAGAAACCGCAGCUGAAAAGUUGUGGCAAUCAUAAAUACAGGCCGUGAUUUGGGAUUGGGGAUUGCAAUUGUUGCCCAUGAACGAGGAAUUCCCAGUAAGCGCAAUUCAUCAUAUUGCGUUGAUUACGUCCCUGCCCUUUGUACACACCGCCCGUCGCUACUACCGAUUGGAAGUUUUAGUGAGGCAUUUGGACCUGCUUUCUAAGUGGCUAGCAAUAGCCACCAAGCGAGCGGGGAAGUCUGUCGAACUCAAAUUUCUAGAGGAAGUAAAAGUCGUAACAAGGUUUCCGU
rnacentral:rRNA from 1 species